rnacentral:rRNA from 1 species
GACGAACGCUGGCGGCGUGCUUAACACAUGCAAGUCGAACGGAAAGGCCCUGCUUUUGUGGGGUGCUCGAGUGGCGAACGGGUGAGUAACACGUGAGUAACCUGCCCUUGACUUUGGGAUAACUUCAGGAAACUGGGGCUAAUACCUGAUAGGAGCUCCUGCUGCAUGGUGGGGGUUGGAAAGUUUCGGCGGUUGGGGAUGGACUCGCGGCUUAGCAGCUUGUUGGUGGGGUAGUGGCUUACCAAGGCUUUGACGGGUAGCCGGCCUGAGAGGGUGACCGGCCACAUUGGGACUGAGAUACGGCCCAGACUCCUACGGGAGGCAGCAGUGGGGAAUAUUGCACAAUGGGCGGAAGCCUGAUGCAGCAACGCCGCGUGCGGGAUGACGGCCUUCGGGUUGUAAACCGCUUUCGCCUGUGACGAAGCGUGAGUGACGGUAAUGGGUAAAGAAGCACCGGCUAACUACGUG